rnacentral:lncRNA from 1 species
AAAGGUGUGAGAUGACCUUCACCCCCCUGUCCGUGCAGCCCCAAGCAUCUCUGCAGGAGACUCUGAAGAAUAGCAAUUGUCAUGUUGGAUCGACUACUCGGCAACUGGCCUGCAACGUGACCCGAGGGGCGAAGGCGAGUGGUGAGAGUGCAAAACAGCUGGCUGCAACCUGGACCGUCCCGGGAGCAGGUAAGGCUGACCAGACAUGGGUGUGUGCGGGGUCCCCUUCUCCCAGUGAGCUGCUCCCUGGUCCUACUUCAGGGUGUGGGGACGUGGCCCCUGCUGAGCAGCCUGCAGGCGACGAGCUGUCCCGGGAGCUGGAGCGCGUGAAGAGCGAGCUGGAGCGCGUGAAGAGCGAGCUGGCCGACAGAGCUGCCCAGUGCGAAGCCUAUCGGCGGACCGUCGCCUGCCUGCGGGCUCGGCUCAGAGCGGCAGGUACGUUCCCCCGCCGGCGAUGCUCUGCUGAUCCGGUGUCACCGAGCGCUGCCGGACAAGAGGGCUAAAGCGGGUGGCAGGUGCUGAAGGCAGAGGAGCAGCCGUGCUUCGAUGCUGCCGUUGUUCCCCAGGAGCGUGGCCGGAUGAUGCAGUGGGGGACGAGACCGGGGUCUCGGGGAGGGACUGACACCUGGCACGUGGGGACAGCCGCGCCGCAGCGGCUUGUCCAGGCGCCUGAGCAAGCUGCUGUGGGCCAGUGACAGUUGUGGAGCUGCUGCAUGAAUGAAACUUUUAAAUUCCUUAUAUUUAAAAUAAAG